rnacentral:rRNA from 1 species
GUGCCAGCAGCCGCGGUAAUACGUAGGUGGCAAGCGUUGUCCGGAUUUAUUGGGUUUAAAGGGUGCGUAGGCGGCCCUGUAAGUCAGUGCUGAAAUAUCCCGGCUUAACCGGGAGGGUGGCAUUGAUACUGCAGGGCUUGAGUACAGAUGAAGUAGGCGGAAUUGACGGUGUAGCGGUGAAAUGCAUAGAUAUCGUCAAGAACACCGAUAGCGAAGGCAGCUUACUAAGCUGUAACUGACGCUGAGGCACGAAAGUGUGGGGAUCAAACAGGAUUAGAUACCCCUGUAGUCC